UACGAAGGGGGCUAGCGUUGUUCGGAAUUAUUGGGCGUAAAGAGCGUGUAGGCGGCCAGGUAGGUCCGGUGUGAAAACUCGAGGCUUAACCUCGAGAUGUCAUCGGAAACCAUCUGGCUAGAGUUCGGUAGGGGAGAUCGGAAUUCCUGGUGUAGCGGUGAAAUGCGCAGAUAUCAGGAGGAACACCGGUGGCGAAGGCGGAUCUCUGGGCCGAUACUGACGCUGAGGAGCGAAAGCGUGGGGAGCGAACAGG
rnacentral:rRNA from 1 species